CGGACGGGUGAGUAACACGUGGAUAACCUACCUAUAAUACUGGGAUAACUUCGGGAAACCGGAGCUAAUACCGGAUAAUAUAUUGAACCGCAUGGUUCAAUAGUGAAAGACGGUUUUGCUGUCACUUAUAGAUGGAUCCUCGCCGCAUUAGCUAGUUGGUAAGGUAACGGCUUACCAAGGCAACGAUGCGUAGCCGACCUGAGAGGGUGAUCGGCCACACUGGAACUGAGACACGGUCCAG
rnacentral:rRNA from 1 species